rnacentral:tRNA from 1 species
AUUCAUAUAGUUUAUAAAUUUAAUAAAACACUUCAUUUUCAAUGAAGAAAUAAGGAGUCCUUUAUGAAUG